CCUACGGGAGGCAGCAGUCGGGAAUUUUGGGCAAUGGGCGAAAGCCUGACCCAGCAACGCCGCGUGAAGGAUGAAGUAUUUCGGUAUGUAAACUUCGAAAGAAUGGGAAGAAUCAAUGACGGUACCAUUUAUAAGCUCCGGCUAACUACGUGCCAGCAGCCGCGGUAAUACGUAGGGAGCAAGCGUUGUUCGGAUUUACUGGG
rnacentral:rRNA from 1 species